GCAGAGCCCGCCUAUCCAAAGAAUUCAAUGAUAUCACAGCUGCCACUUAUGGGGGAUCUAGCCGCUCCUUCAUAGAACGCCUUCUAGCAAUCCAUGUUGAAUAUAUCCGCCUUGGAUAUGAGGUUCCCAACUUCAUACUCUUCGAUAAACUCCUCAACGGCCUCACCAAGGGCUGGUCCUCAUUUGUCAAGGAUUGUAUGGAUCAUGUAGCAAAGAAUGAUAAUACCAGACCACUUGAAGACAACUUUCUUGACCUUUGCAAAGAUAUAUUACUCCGCCUGCCAUUAGAUAACAAGAAUGCCAAUGCUGCUACAGGCUAUUUGAAGAAUGAUAAGAACAUCAAGGAU
rnacentral:sRNA from 1 species